CAGUAGCCGCGGGAAUACGAAGGGGGCUAGCGUUGUUCGGAAUCACUGGGCGUAAAGCGCACGUAGGCGGACUUUUAAGUCAGGGGUGAAAUCCCAAGGCUCAACCUUGGAACUGCCUUUGAUACUGGAAGUCUUGAGUUCGGGAGAGGUGAGUGGAACUGCGAGUGUAGAGGUGAAAUUCGUAGAUAUUCGCAAGAACACCAGUGGCGAAGGCGGCUCACUGGCCCGAUACUGAUGCUGAAGUGCGAAAGCGUGGGGAGCAAACAGGAUUAGAUACCCCGGUAGUCCCUGUCUCUUAUAC
rnacentral:rRNA from 1 species